rnacentral:misc_RNA from 1 species
GAUGAAGAUCGCAGCGAAAUGCGAUACUUGGUGUGAAUUGCAGAAUCCCGUGAACCAUCGAGUCUUUGAACGCAAGUUGCGCCUCAAGCCAUUAGGUUGAGGGCACGUCUGCCUGGGCGUCACAUAUCGUUGCCUGAUGCCAGUUUCCUCGUGAUGGGUGACUGUGCAGGGCGAAUGAUGGCUUCCCGUGAGCAUUGUUGCCUCAUGGUUGGUUGAAAAUUGAGUCCUUGGUAGGGAGCGCCGUGAUAGAUGGUGGUUGAGUGACGAACGAGACCCAAUCAUGUGAGACCCCUACCGAAUUUGGCCUUCAUGACCCACAUGCGUCUUUGGAACGCUCAUGACGAGACCUCAGGUCAGGCGGGGCUACCCGCUGAGUUUAAGCAUAUCAAUAAGCGGAGGA